rnacentral:rRNA from 1 species
GAUGAACGCUAGCGGCAGGCUUAAUACAUGCAAGUCGAGGGGUAGCAAGAUUGUAGCAAUACAAUGGUUGAUGACCGGCAAACGGGUGCGGAACACGUAGACAACCUUCCUACAAGUGGGGAAUAGCCCAGAGAACUUUGGAUUAAUACCCCGUAACAUAGCGAUGUGGCAUCACAUUGCUAUUAUAGCUUCGGCGCUUGUUGCUGGGUGUGCGGCUGAUUAGGUAGUUGGCGGGGUAACGGACCACCAAGUCUACGAUCAGUAGCUGAUGUGAUAUCAUGCUCAGGGACGCGGGCGCUGAGGGACGGGCGCGACUCUUACAGGAGGCAGCAGUAAGGAAUAUUGGAUAAUGGACUCAAGUCUGAUCUAGCCAUGCCGCGUGAAGGAUUACCGUCCUCUUGAUUGUAAAUUCCUUUUAUAAGGGACGAAAAAAGGGCUUUCUAGGUCGUCUGACGGUACCUUAUGAAUAAGCACCGGUUAAAUCUGUGCCAGCCGCCGCCUCAUCAC